AGAGUUUGAUCCUGGCUCAGGACGAACGCUGGCGGCGUGCCUAACACAUGCAAGUCGAACGGACGAGGCCCCUUCGGGGACCGAGUUAGUGGCGGACGGGUGAGUAACGCGUGAGCAACCUGCCUUUCAGAGGGGGACAACAGUUGGAAACGACUGCUAAUACCGCAUGAUGCAGCGAGAUCGCAUGGUCUUGCUGUCAAAGAUUUAUCGCUGAAAGAUGGGCUCGCGUCUGAUUAGCUAGUUGGAGGGGUAACGGCCCACCAAGGCGACGAUCAGUAGCCGGACUGAGAGGUUGAACGGCCACAUUGGGACUGAGAUACGGCCCAGACUCCUACGGGAGGCAGCAGUGGGGAAUAUUGGGCAAUGGGGGAAACCCUGACCCAGCAACGCCGCGUGAAGGAAGAAGGCUUUCGGGUUGUAAACUUCUUUUACCAGGGACGAAGAACGUGACGGUACCUGGAGAAAAAGCCACGGCUAACUACGUGCCAGCAGCCGCGGUAAUACGUAGGUGGCAAGCGUUGUCCGGAUUUACUGGGUGUAAAGGGCGUGUAGGCGGAGCUGCAAGUCAGAUGUGAAAUCUGGGGGCUUAACCCUCAAACUGCAUUUGAAACUGUAGCCCUUGAGUAUCGGAGAGGCAGGCGGAAUUCCUAGUGUAGCGGUGAAAUGCGUAGAUAUUAGGAAGAACACCAGUGGCGAAGGCGGCCUGCUGGACGACAACUGACGCUGAGGCGCGAAAGCGUGGGGAGCAAACAGGAUUAGAUACCCUGGUAGUCCACGCUGUAAACGAUGAAUACUAGGUGUGGGGGGACUGACCCCCUCCGUGCCGGAGUUAACACAAUAAGUAUUCCACCUGGGGAGUACGACCGCAAGGUUGAAACUCAAAGGAAUUGACGGGGGCCCGCACAAGCAGUGGAUUAUGUGGUUUAAUUCGACGCAACGCGAAGAACCUUACCGGGAUUUGACACCCUACUAACGAAGCAGAGAUGCAUUAGGUGCCCUUCGGGGAAAGUAGAGACAGGUGGUGCAUGGUUGUCGUCAGCUCGUGUCGUGAGAUGUUGGGUUAAGUCCCGCAACGAGCGCAACCCCUAUUGUUAGUUGCUACGCAAGAGCACUCUAGCGAGACUGCCGUUGACAAAACGGAGGAAGGCGGGGACGACGUCAAAUCAUCAUGCCCCUUAUGUCCCGGGCUACACACGUAAUACAAUGGCGGUCAACAAAGGGAAGCAAAGCCGCGAGGCAGAGCAAACCCCCAAAAGCCGUCUCAGUUCGGAUUGCAGGCUGCAACUCGCCUGCAUGAAGCUGGAAUUGCUAGUAAUCGUGGAUCAGAAUGCCACGGUGAAUACGUUCCCGGGCCUUGUACACACCGCCCGUCACACCAUGAGAGUCGGGAACACCCGAAGUCCGUAGUCUAACCCGCAAGGGAGGGCGCGGCCGAAGGUGGGUCUGAUAAUUGGGGUGAAGUCGUAACAAGGUA
rnacentral:rRNA from 1 species